GUGAGGGCAGCGCCCUCCCCGGCCAGGGCCCCCCCUCCUCCGAGCCUCACUCAACGGCCGUCGCGGCCGCCAUUUUGAGAGCGAGGAGAGAAGAAGAAGGAGGCGGCGGCGGCAGGGGGAGGGGAGAAAGGGAGGGAGGGGACCGGCGCAGCCACAUCGUCAGGCCGCCGGGCCCAGCCCGCAGCCGCCCGAGCGCGGUGGAGGAGACAGAGGGGAGGGUGCAGACCCUUGGCGCCUUACCGGAGCGCUGCACCGCCGCGUCCGCAGGGCCUCUUCCGUCCUUCACUCCCAUCCACCGGCGGGGGGAAGGGGGAGGGAGAGGGAAGGGAGGAAGGAGGGAGGGAGGGAAGGAGGGAGGGGAGGAUGGCGCGCUGGGCCCGGUCCUCGGGAGGGGGAGGGGAGGGAAGCGGGCGGGCUCUUCAGCCGUUCCGGGGCUCGAGCCCAAGCCCAGCGCUCGCGGUUUCUGUUGCUCGCGCCCGAGCGCUUCCUUCCUGCCCUUUCUCGUUCUCUAGACCCUCGGGCCGCUGUUCAAUCGCUCCCUCACUCGCUAUCUCGGCCGUCGGACUCCGCCGCCGCCCCGCCGCUCCAGCUCCGUCUGUCACAGGAGCUGCCCCAGCGCCCUGACGUCACCGCGCCGCCGCCGCCCCAGACCCGCCAGGAAGAGGGAGGGGAGCGGAGGAGGGGCUGCGGCGCAUGCGCGGGCGCGGCUGGGCCCCUGAGUCGCCGUCUUCGUCCUGGCGAGCGGGCGAUCGCGGCCAGUGCUACUUGGCGCGGGGACCAGUCGGCGCCCCUGCAUCCCGGCCCCGGUAGGUUCCAGAGUAAGAAAGCCCGGGCCAGGCUAUCGCCCAUUCUGCCUGCGGCCUGCUGUAUUAUCACCACCCCGCCAAAAAGAAAGGGAAGUAGGUUGGUUUGCUUGGGAGGAUUCGCUUUUAGAUGUGAUUCAGCUGUUAUUUUCCUUAGUCACACACCACGCAUCAGAGACUCUAGAAGUCUCGAAACUGACUCCCAAAGAAAGACCUGGAACUUUAUCCCUACAAGGAAUAUCGGCGAUUGUGGGUGAUCAUCUCCUGGAAGCAAGAAGUCAUGGAGGAGAACUCUUCUGCAGGAUAGGAGGAGAAAAAGGGUCUCUGUAUGUAGCCAAGUUGGCCUCAAACUCACCAGGAUUCUUCUGCCUCAGCCUCCCAAGUGACGGGAUUACAGGUUCUUGAGUGCUGGGAUUAACAGGCAUGUGCCACCGUGUCCAGCCUAUGAUGAACAUUUCUGAACAUAAUUUUUUGUUACAUUGUGCUGCUUACUUCCUUAAGAUAGAACCCCAAAAUUAGGGUUACUAGGCCAAAAGAUAAGGUCUUUUAAUUUGUUUAUUUGUUUGUACUGGGAAUUGAACCCAGGGCCUUCACACUGUGCUACAUCUCUGGUUUGUUUGUUUGUUUAUUUAUUUAUUUAUUUACAUAUAAAUUUUGAAACUAGAUCUCACUAAGUUGAUAGACAGCUCAAGAUGAGCUCAAAUUUGCAAUCCUCCUGCCUCAACCUCUCAGAGGGCUGGGUUUAUAGUCAUGCUCAACCAUACCCAGCCCUUUCUUCUUUUUAAAUCGACUACCUCGGGUUUUUGGGUUUGUUUUGUUUUGGUUUUUUAUUUUUUUGAGACAGGGUCUCACUAUGUAGCCCAGGCUGGCCUCCAACUCAUGACGAUCCUCCUGCCUCAGCCUCCCAGGUGCUAGGAUUACAGGCAUGUACCACCAUACCCAGCUUAUCUCAGGUAUUUUGUCACAGUGAUGGAAAGCUGACUAACACAACUGUGAUGAAAUGGCACACCUGGAUUUGAGCAACAAUGAUACAGUAGAAGGAGGAUUUAUACUAUCUGGAUUUGAACAUCAAUGUAAUCUGAAUUUUGUUAUAAGGUGAAUGUAUUCUUACACUCUCUGGGCCAGUUGAAGCCAGAGCUGCAGGCAGUUCUAGCCCAUGAGAACUGCCAAUAUCAUAAAAUGGGCCACACAGGGAAACACUGCAGAGGUGCAGUGGCACAUGCUGAAGCAGAGGGAUUACAAAUUUAAGACCAGCCUAGUCAACUGAGACUCUCAAAAUACAUAAAAAGGGCUGACAAUGUAGCUCAGUGGUAGAGUGCUUACCUAGCAUGCACAAGACCUUCAGUUCAAUCCCCCUACUGGGGGGAGAAAAGUUAAAAAAAAAAACCAAACAAAUAAUCUCAUGGAUUGUACACUCUAGAUCUAGUUAUUCUGAAACUAUUUCCAUACUUUGUUCUUUAUAAGAUUUAGAAAUAUGAGCUACUAAAACAAAAAAGAAAAAGAAAAAGUAUGAGCUACUAAAUUUAACCCCACUCCCCUCCACUAGUUUUUUAGGUUUGUUUGUUUAUUUGUUUGGGGUUUUUUGAGACUAUGUCUUGCCCUGUAGUCCUGGAUGGCCUUGAACUUUCGACAGUCCUCCUGCCUCAGCCUCCAGAGUGCUGGGAUUACAGGCUUGCAUUUGGCUAGUUUUUCUUAAAGUAGUUUGAAUUUGACUUGCAAUAGAAAGAAUCUUGGCCUAUAUUUAGGCAUGGAAGUAGGAAAAGAUAUCAGAUAUUAGAAUAAAUUUAUAUAAAAUAGUAUUUUAGCUGGUCAUAGUGGUGCACAUCUUUAGUCCCUCCUACUGGAGAGCCAGAGGCAAGAUCACUUGAGAUCAAGAGUUUGAGAUCAGCCUAGGCAACAUAGUAAAACCUUAUUUCAGGAAAACAAACAGUCCCACAAGGUGGCAUACACCUGUAAUACCAGCACUCAAGAGGCUAAUGCAAGAGGGUCACUGCAAGUUUGAGCCCAGCGUGUGCUACAUAGUGAGUUUAAGGCCAGCCUGGACUACAUAACAAGACCCUGUCUCUAAAAACCAAAGGGGAUGGGGGAAAGAAAAACAAACAAAACAAAAUAAAGAAAUAAAAUAGCAUUAAAAAUAUGAACCACUGGCCAUGGUGGCAUAUGCCUGUAAUCCUAGCACUUGGGAGGUUGAGGCAGGAUUGUCAUGAGUUCAAGGUCAGCCUGGGUUACAUAAUGAGUUCACAGCCAGCCUGAACUAUAGAGUGAGACUCUAUCUCAAAAAUAAAUGAAUAAACCAAUACCAUGUAGAAGUAUAGUUUGAAAUUACUAAAUAUACUGUCAAAAAGCAAGCUAUAGAAUGGAAAGAAAUUUUUAUAUGCAAGUGAUAUGUAGGAUAUAUAAAAAAGUACAACAGCAAAUAAUUUAAUAACUUGAUUUGAAAAUGACCAAAAGAUUUCAGCCUUCCAAAAAUGAUACACAAAUGGCCAAGAAGUAUAUGAGAUAGGAAACAGGGACAUAGCUCUUUUACAAAUGGGAAGGGGACCGAGAGAUGAAGGAAAGGGUGUGGGGGGAAGGGGACAUAAAAAGAAUGAAGAAUUAAAAUGUGUUACAUACAUGUACCAACUUCCCAUGAUGAAUGUAAUCAUUAUGUACUGCAAACGUACUAAUAAAAAUUAAAAAUUUUAUAAAGAAGCAUAUGAAUAGAUAGAUAUCACUAAUCAGAAGAGAAAUGCAAAUUAAAACCAGAUGCUACUUCACACCCAUUAUGAUGGCUACUGUGGAAGGAAAAAGGAAAGAGGAAGGAAGGGAGAGGGGCAGGGAAGAAGAAAAGAGAUCUGUCUUGUGUUCCCUAUCAUGAAUGUAUCACCUUGUAUUUAACCAUUCCCUACUGAUAAAUUUUAAAUUGUUUUAGUUUUUUUUCUAUUAAAAAAUCUCAAUAAAUAUUAUCAU
ensembl:lncRNA